rnacentral:lncRNA from 1 species
CCAAGACCCAACACGACUCUUUGGUCCAGCGCCCACAGCUAAUUAAUGGCAGAGCCAGGGCAGCAGAAGGCACAGGAGUGAGGAGACCCAGCACGCGCCGCGCUGGGCACCUGGCACACGGCAGGCCCUCCAUAUGCUUGUGAUGCUUGUGGAAGGCAUGAGCGAAGGAGGGACUGCAGAGCGGAAAGCUCCACCAACGGCUGGUUUCCACGCACACGCACCUCCAUCUACACGCCCUACAAGUGCCCAAAACAAAGACAAAGCUUCUGCUAGUGGAGAAUAGGUUGGUCCUAAUUUAGGCCUUCCAACUGAUUUGAAUGGCAUCUCUUAAACGCCGAGAUGGUUAAGGAAAGGGCAUAAGGUAGAGAAACCCGGUCUAUCAGGUUCUGCCUCAGAGAUCGCUCAUUAGCUGGACAUAGUACGUUUUAUUGUUGUCAUUGUCGCCGUUAUUGGACACUCUCAUGAAGCUUAAUGCCACAGUCACUCCAUGUUUGAGCACUGCUUAGUUGUAAGCCACUUUCUUUCCCAGGGUGGAGCGCUGGGCUGAAAGAGGAGCUGGGAAAUGUAAUUAUCAGUCAGUGAGGAAGCAGGUAGGAGCUUGAACCAUCCUGGGUUACACAGUCCUGGUCAAAAGGACGUGCUUAUCUGUUUUGAGGCCUGUUUUUCCCACUCAGUUUCUUCCUAAGUCAGAACAAGCCUUCCCCUCCUUCUCAUCUCCACUCCCCUUUCUUCUUCUUCCUUCCCUUCCUUCCCUCCCCUCUCUUCCACCCGCUCUGUGUUGAAUCCUUGCAGUGUCUGGGAAUUCCUCCAGUUGCUGUGUGUUCCAGAAACAGGCAACCUCCAGUUCAUUCAAGGGACAUCGGAAUUCAAUACUGUCUGCUUGUCACCACUUUUUGCCCUAAAUAAAUGCAUUCAAAUGUAUUUUUGUCCUUUUCAUUCAGUAUCCACCUGAAAAACAGAUGUCCAUCUUUUUUUGUAUUGUUGACAGUUUCAUGUGGUUUUAAAAUUUUUUCCUCUCAGAUUUUCUCAUUACUUUUGGAAAAGCAUGAUGAGAUGAAGCAUGUGGAAUUUGGAAUCAGGAUGUCUACAUAUUAGUUCCAGCCUUGCCCCUGACUAGGUCACUGACCCUGAAGACACCACUCACCCCCUGUGCGCCUCAGUUUCCCCGUCAGUGAACAGAGACCCUGCCACGCUCCCAGGAGCUUUCUUUAACUUCUCUCCUGUGUCAUUCCAUUUGCUGUCUCUAGUGUUCUUCUCUUUUCUCUCCUCAAAGCUGGCAUUUUAA